rnacentral:lncRNA from 1 species
CUCCAGACAGCAGAAGCGCCGGGAUUUCCAUGCAGCUGCCACGACAGGUCUUUGUGGACUUACAAUUUACCAAAUGAAGACACUGAAACCCCAAGACAGUGGUGGCAAACCUAUGGCACGUGUGCUGCAGCCAGCUGUUUGUUAUCAUUCAAAGUUCUAAAAGGUUCACCAUCACUGCCAUAAGACAAAACUUUAAAAAGAGAUACAGAAUAAACUGAUAUAGUGUCAUUCAUGAAUUAACAGAACUCAUCAGUACUCUUAUAAAAAGCCAUGAAAAUGUACUAGAACUCACAUA